AUGCAAGUCGAACGGUAACAGGAAACAGCUUGCUGUUUCGCUGACGAGUGGCGGACGGGUGAGUAAUGUCUGGGAAACUGCCUGAUGGAGGGGGAUAACUACUGGAAACGGUAGCUAAUACCGCAUAACGUCGCAAGACCAAAGAGGGGGACCUUCGGGCCUCUUGCCAUCGGAUGUGCCCAGAUGGGAUUAGCUAGUAGGUGGGGUAACGGCUCACCUAGGCGACGAUCCCUAGCUGGUCUGAGAGGAUGACCAGCCACACUGGAACUGAGACACGGUCCAGACUCCUACGGGAGGCAGCAGUGGGGAAUAUUGCACAAUGGGCGCAAGCCUGAUGCAGCCAUGCCGCGUGUAUGAAGAAGGCCUUCGGGUUGUAAAGUACUUUCAGCGGGGAUGAAGGGAGUAAAGUUAAUACCUUUGCUCAUUGACGUUACCCGCAGAAGAAGCACCGGCUAACUCCGUGCCAGCAGCCGCGGUAAUACGGAGGGUGCAAGCGUUAAUCGGAAUUACUGGGCGUAAAGCGCACGCAGGCGGUUUGUUAAGUCAGAUGUGAAAUCCCCGGGCUCAACCUGGGAACUGCAUCUGAUACUGGCAAGCUUGAGUC
rnacentral:rRNA from 1 species